rnacentral:rRNA from 1 species
AAUUUUGGACAAUGGGCGCAAGCCUGAUCCAGCCAUGCCGCGUGAGUGAAGAAGGCCUUCGGGCUGUAAAGCUUUUUCGGACGGAAAGAAAUCGCCCAGGCUAUUACCCCGCCCGGAUGACGGUACCGGCAUAAUAAGCACCGGCUCACGACGUGCCAGCAACCGCGGUAAUACGUAGCGUUCCAGCGUUAAUCGGAAUUACUGGGCGUAAAGCGUGCGCAGGCGGUUGAUUAAGACAGGCGUGAAAUCCCCGGGCUUAACCUGGGAACUGCGCUUGUGACUGGUCAGCUAGAGUACGGUAGAGGGGGGUGGAAUUCCACGUGUAGCAGUGAAAUGCGUAGAGAUGUGGAGGAACACCGAUGGCGAAGGCAGCCCCCUGGGCCGAUACUGACGCUCAUGCACGAAAGCGUGGGUAGCAAACAGG